rnacentral:misc_RNA from 1 species
AUUUAUGGGUAAAACACAGAAACAAACAUGUCGGCGUCCACGGAGUUUGACUUUAGGAUAGCUCGAAAUGACUUCGGGGAAGUCUUGCAAAGCCUGCUCACCAAGAAUGUACUCAGUCAGUGUAUACCACAUGUCCAGAGUUACCAUGGCAAUGACAGUGAGAAAAAACUGGCUUUAGAUCAAGCGCUCCGUGAUAUUGUUCGCAUUGUUAUAACCGAAGAGAUGGGCUGUUCUGUAUACAGAGAAGUGAUCACAACAGCCAUUGAAGCUGCUAAUCAAGAUGUGUGUUCAGCUUCCACACCAUUUGUACUUCUAUCAGAUGUCUUUGACAUGAUUACUUUGGAACAAUGUGAGGAUAUCUUCAAUCUGGUCGAAGAAAAAGUCAGCACUUGGAAGUCUGACACCUUUUACGAUGCUGGUAAGAACUAUCUGCUGAGAAUGUGCAAUGAUUUGCUUAGAAGACUUUCCAAAUCUCAGAAUACUGUGUUCUGUGGUCGGAUACAGCUGUUCCUGUCUCGGUUAUUUCCACUCUCUGAGAAAUCAGCUUUGAACUUAAUGAGUCAGUUUAAUUUGGACAAUAUCACUGUUUACAACACAAACCCGGAGGAAUCUCGCUUAAAGAAUGAGGUGAAUGAAGAUAGAAUGGAAUUCGAUGCAGAAAUGGAAGAAAAUAACAGCAAUGUACCUAUUGAUUUCAAUCUGUACCGCAAGUUUUGGGCUUUACAAGAUUUCUUCCGGAAGCCUCUUCUUUGUUAUGAGAAAGUGGCAUGGCUGACCUUUACAUCAAAUGCUAAUGAAGUGCUCACAGCGUUUUCUAGUUACAAGCUUGACGAUAUGAAAUCCCCUCGCAAGAAACUCAACCGCUCAUAUCUUAAGGAAACUCAGACUUAUUUUGCCAAAUACUUGACCAGUGAAAAGUUACUCGAUCUACAGCUCUCAGACAGUAAUUUCCGGAGAUAUGUGCUGGUACAGUUCCUGAUUCUCGUCCAAUACCUGAAUGCUCCUGUCAAGUUUAAAAAUGCCAACUGUGCCCUGUCUGAAGAACAAAAUGUUUGGAUUAAAACAACAGAAGACUGGGUUUACCAACUACUUAAAGAAACACCUCCUGAUGGAGAGGCAUUUGCCAAAUCUAUACAGCAUAUAUUAAGACGUGAAGAGAACUGGAAUGCCUGGAAAAAUGAAGGUUGUCCUCUAUUUGAACGUCAUGGUGGUGCUGGUGAUAUAAGGUCUAAAAAUAAAAUAAAGAGGAAGAGUGUUGGAAGUGACUUAAUAGCAAGUGGAGGGAAGUUGAUCAAAAUGGGGAGUCCAGAGCUGACCCGAUUAUGGAAUCUAUGUCCAGACAACACAGAAGCCUGCAAAUCGGAGAAAAGAGUGUUCUUGCCAACUUUGGAAGAUUUCUUUGCUGAUGCCAUCGAACAGUCUGACCCUGAAGCCAUGGUUGAAGACGAAUACAAGUUGGUCAAGGAUCAAGUGUUUCAGUGGAAAGCCCUCAGGUUACUGGCUCGUCGCAGUCCUCAUUUCUUUACUCAUGCUCCCCAGCCAGCAGUUGAAUUACCUGUUUAUCUUGAAAGUAUGGUCACCAGACUAGCCAAAGAGAUGCCACCACCACAUGAAGAAAUGAAGACUGAAAUUGGAGAAGAAGAAGACAUAAAGGCUCCCUCUCCGGAUGAAGGGGAAGAAAUCAAGAAUGAUGGCACCGAUAUUCCUUCUUCCACUUGGAAAUUCAACAAUGAUUUUUUACAAGGUGGCAGUACUGAUGAUCUCCCUAUCAACAAACAUCAAAUCCAUGAAGUGGCUGAAGGUUUGGGUCAUGACUGGAAAAAAUUAGCUGUUGAGCUGAAUUUCUCUGAUGAUGUGAUUGCACAGUUUGAUAGUGAAAGCCACGAUGAUACUCAGAAAGCAUUGAAAAUGUUGACAUUAUGGUUUGAAAACGAGGCUGAACAUGCCACUCCUGGGUGUCUCCGUACAGCUUUGAAUGAAAUUGGAUUGCUUGAAGUGGCCGACCAAGUAUUUCCUGAUAUUGAAGCAAGUAACUGAUGAAACACAUCCAUGUCCUCUGUCAAGGUUUCAACAGUUUCAUUUCAAGGGACUGGGACAAUAUUACCAUGUUUUAUAUUGUCCCAUUUUAUUCAACACUUGAAUGAAACGAAAUGAUGCUAUUAUGUUUCAUACUUGCCCACCAGAUUGAAAUGGGACACUAUUACUACUGUAUUUUAUAUUGUCCCAUUUUAUUGGACAGUUGAUAAAAAUGGGGCAUUACUGUUAUGUGAAAAAGUAUUCCAUUUUAUUUGGUAUUGGGGUGAAAUGGGACAUUGUUACUACUAUGUCUUAUGUAGUCCCACUUUAUUGAAUACUGGAUUAAAAUGGGACAUUACUGUUAUGUGAAAAAGCAUCUCAUUUUAUUCAACAGUUUCAAUCCACUGAGCAAGAGUGAAUAUUUGCAGUGUUAGCUGUAUAUCUAGUAGGAUUCCAUUUAAUCCAGCAUCAUUUUGUUCAGCUCAACCUGAUCUUAUUAAAUGAAAUUUAAAAGACAGAUUUGUAGCUUAACAGAUCCGGAAUAAUAUUAUCUAUAAAAAAGAAACUGAAAAAAAAUACAAAACAAAACCUGUUGGACUUUUUAUACAUUUUUCCAGGUUAUCUAUCUCAUAAGUUUGAUCAAACAAAAAGAAAAAAAUAAACAUUCCCUUGUCUAA